GAUGAACGCUAGCGGCAGGCUUAAUACAUGCAAGUCGUGGGGCAGCAGGGGUAGCAAUACCCGCUGGCGACCGGCAAACGGGUGCGGAACACGUACGCAACCUUCCUUUAACUGGAGAAUAGCCCCUCGAAAGAGGGAUUAAUACUCCGUAACAUAUUGAUAAGGCAUCUUAUUAAUAUUAUAGCUCCGGCGGUUAAAGAUGGGCGUGCGACUGAUUAGAUAGUUGGCGGGGUAACGCCCACCAAGUCUGCGAUCAGUAACUGGUGUGAGAGCACGACCAGUCACACGGGCACUGAGACACGGGCCCGACUCCUACGGGAGGCAGCAGUAAGGAAUAUUGGUCAAUGGACGAAAGUCUGAACCAGCCAUGCCGCGUGGAGGAUGAAGGUCCUCUGGAUUGUAAACUUCUUUUAUAGGGGAAC
rnacentral:rRNA from 1 species